rnacentral:rRNA from 1 species
GCGCAGCAGUCGAGAAACUUUACAAUGUGCGAAAGCACGAUAAGGGAACUCUGAGUGCCUCCUAAGGAGGCUGUUCAGGUGUCUAAAAGCACCUGGAGUAAGGGCUGGGUAAGACCGGUGCCAGCCGCCGCGGUAACACCGGCAGCCCAGGUGGUAGCCACUUUUAUUGGGUCUAAAGCGUCCGUAGCCGGUUGAGUAAGUUCCUUGGGAAAUUUGGCUGCUCAACAGUCAAGCUUCCAGGGAAUACUGCUCGACUUGGGACUGGGAGAGGUCAGAGGUACUCCAGGGGUAGGGUGAAAUCCAUUAAUCCCUGGGGGACCACCGGUAGCGAAGGCGUCUGACCAGACCAGGUCCGACGGUGAGGGACGAAGGCUAGGGUCGCGAACCGGAUUAGAUACCCCCGUAGU